rnacentral:lncRNA from 1 species
AUUAUUUACUGUGGAAACUUCAGUUCCCAAGAUGGCCAUAAAGGUAACUCUAAUGAAACACCAGCCACAAGCAGGCAGCCACAGCCUGAGAGUGGCAGAAGGGCAUCAGACAUUUACUUACAGGUUGUCAGAGGCUAAUCUAGUUUUCUCUUUCAGGGUCUGACUUGGAGGCCACAAGAAGAUGGAGGCCAGUGUUAUAGAAACCAAGGAGGACUGGCAGGUGCCAGAGCAGUUUUUAGAGAGGAGCAGGCUCCAGAGGAACAAUUUAACAAUUGUCGUAGAAAAAGUGUGCAUGUGGGAGUGGAGGGUCACCACAUCAUCUCAUCUCUUCUUAGGACUCGUUCCUGAAACUAGACCCAGAUGAAGAAAAUGGGACUCUGAAAGAUGAAGCAAUUUGACAGAGCAAGAAAUUUGACAAAUCUUUACUACUAAAGAGGAGAUUUCAAUAUAAGCCCCUCAGAAACUGAUGAAGCAAAUAUGUAAGAAUAUAUAAUAUUAUUUGCCUCGCUCCCUGUCUGUAACUUUUUUUCCCCCUUCUCCUCCCCCAUGGUCUUCUGUUAAGUUUCUCAAGAUCCACCUAUGAGUGAAAACAUGUGGUUAUCUGUCUUUCUCUGACUUAUUUCACUUAGCAUAAUACCUUCCAGUUCCAUCCACAUUGCUGCAAAUGGCCAGAUUUCAUUCUUUCUCAUUGCCAAGUACUAUUCCAUUGUAUAUAUAAACCACAUCUUCUUUAUCAAUUCAUCAGUUGAACAAACUGAGGGUUGAUGGGGGGUGGAGGAGAGGGGAAAGUGGGUGGUGUGCAGUGAGGAGAGCACUUGUUAGGAUGAGCACUGGGUGUUGUAUGGAGACCAAUUUGUCAAUAAAUUAUAUUAAAAAUAAUAAAAAUAAAAGAAU